GACGAACGCUGGCGGCGUGCUUAACACAUGCAAGUCGAACGGAAAGGCCCUGCUUUUGUGGGGUGCUCGAGUGGCGAACGGGUGAGUAACACGUGAGUAACCUGCCCUUGACUUUGGGAUAACUUCAGGAAACUGGGGCUAAUACCGGAUAGGAGCUCCUGCUGCAUGGUGGGGGUUGGAAAGUUUCGGCGGUUGGGGAUGGACUCGCGGCUUAUCAGCUUGUUGGUGGGGUAGUGGCUUACCAAGGCUUUGACGGGUAGCCGGCCUGAGAGGGUGACCGGCCACAUUGGGACUGAGAUACGGCCCAGACUCCUACGGGAGGCAGCAGUGGGGAAUAUUGCACAAUGGGCGGAAGCCUGAUGCAGCAACGCCGCGUGCGGGAUGACGGCCUUCGGGUUGUAAACCGCUUUCGCCUGUGACGAAGCGUGAGUGACGGUAAUGGGUAAAGAAGCACCGGCUAACUACGUGCCAGCAGCCACGGUGAUACGUAGGGUGCGAGCGUUGUCCGGAUUUAUUGGGCGUAAAGGGCUCGUAGGUGGUUGAUCGCGUCGGAAGUGUAAUCUUGGGGCUUAACCCUGAGCGUGCUUUCGAUACGGGUUGACUUGAGGAAGGUAGGGGAGAAUGGAAUUCCUGGUGGAGCGGUGGAAUGCGCAGAUAUCAGGAGGAACACCAGUGGCGAAGGCGGUUCUCUGGGCCUUUCCUGACGCUGAGGAGCGAAAGCGUGGGGAGCGAACAGGCUUAGAUACCCUGGUAGUCCACGCUGUAAACGGUGGGUACUAGGUGUGGGGUCCAUUCCACGGGUUCCGUGCCGUAGCUAACGCUUUAAGUACCCCGCCUGGGGAGUACGGCCGCAAGGCUAAAACUCAAAGGAAUUGACGGGGCCCCGCACAAGCGGCGGAGCAUGCGGAUUAAUUCGAUGCAACGCGUAGAACCUUACCUGGGUUUGACAUGGAUCGGGAGUGCUCAGAGAUGGGUGUGCCUCUUUUGGGGUCGGUUCACAGGUGGUGCAUGGCUGUCGUCAGCUCGUGUCGUGAGAUGUUGGGUUAAGUCCCGCAACGAGCGCAACCCUUGUUCACUGUUGCCAGCACGUUAUGGUGGGGACUCAGUGGAGACCGCCGGGGUCAACUCGGAGGAAGGUGGGGAUGACGUCAAGUCAUCAUGCCCCUUAUGUCCAGGGCUUCACGCAUGCUACAAUGGCUGGUACAGAGAGUGGCGAGCCUGUGAGGGUGAGCGAAUCUCGGAAAGCCGGUCUCAGUUCGGAUUGGGGUCUGCAACUCGACCUCAUGAAGUCGGAGUCGCUAGUAAUCGCAGAUCAGCAACGCUGCGGUGAAUACGUUCCCGGGGCUUGUACACACCGCCCGUCAAGUCAUGAAAGUUGGUAACACCCGAAGCCGGUGGCCUAACCGAUUGUGGGGGAGCCGUCGAAGGUGGGACUGGUGAUUAGGACUAAA
rnacentral:rRNA from 1 species